rnacentral:rRNA from 1 species
CAGUAGGGAAUCUUCCACAAUGGGCGAAAGCCUGAUGGAGCAACGCCGCGAGUGUGAUGAAAGGUUUCGGCUCGUAAACACUGUUGUAAGAGAAGAAUGACAUUGAGAGUAACUGUUCAAUGUGUGACGGUAUCUUACCAGAAAGGAACGGCUAAAUACGUGCCUG